GGGGACAUAGUUUAAUUGGUAAAACUGCGACUUUGCAAGUCGUUAUCUCAGGUUCGAAUCCUGAUGUCUCCAU
rnacentral:tRNA from 1 species